GUGGGUGUAGCUCAGUUGGUUAGAGCGCCAGGUUGUGGCCCUGGAGGUCGCGGGUUCAACUCCCUUCACCCACCCCA
rnacentral:tRNA from 1 species